rnacentral:rRNA from 1 species
AUGCUGGAGGGCAAGGCGGUGGUGGAGGACACGGACAUGCCGGCGCGGAUGCAGGCGGCGGCGACGUCGGCCGCCUCCCGCGCGCUCGACCUCUUCGACGUCGACGACUGCCGCGCCAUCGCCGGCCACAUCAAGACGGAGUUCGACCGGCGGUACGGCAUGGGGUGGCAGUGCGUGGUGGGCGCCAGCUUCGGGUGCUUCUUCACCCACUCCAGCGGCACCUUCAUCUACUUCUCCCUCGAGCGCCUCACCUUCCUCCUCUUCAAGGCCGCCGCCGUCACCGCUGCGACCUCCUGUGCUUCGUCGGGGAUAUCUUAA